UGUGACCCUUGGCAUGUGGGGGUUCUCUUCCAGGCAUGGAGCACCACUUUAAGCAUCCUCCUUCUCCUCCAGGCCUCUUCUAGUUGUUUAAAAUCUGAUUUCAAAAGCUGCUUCUUUUUUUUCUCAUGUUGGUUGAUCAUCCCUCUUCCCUGCGGAGUCUGGUAUGCAUACAAAGUAGAGAGUUUGUGCGGUCAGACCUUGUGAACCAUCGGAUUCGAGUUCUUUUGAAGAUUUUGAUCCCUAUUCCACUACGAUUUAGAUAAUUUAUAAAAGUUAUAAAUUAAUAGAAUAGAAAAAUUUUUCAGAUGCACCUUGAUGAUCCGAUCAGAUUGGAUGAAUUUUUCCUUCACAUACUCUCUCACUGAAGUGAUAAUCUGAAUUAAUCACAUUGACUUCUUUCUAACUAAUGAUUGUGCCUCCAUUAGAUCUCAUCUUAUCUACUGUGCCUAUGAAGUAUACCUUUGAAUCUUUGCACAAGUAGAAGGAAUAAUUUUGAUGAAAGUCCUAUCGAUAAAUGCAUUCUCAUUCAAUAUACCAAUU
rnacentral:lncRNA from 1 species